UGGCUCUCGCAACGAUGAAGAACGCAGCGAAAUGCGAUACGUAAUGUGAAUUGCAGAAUUUAGUGAAUCAUCGAAUCUUUGAACGCAUCUUGCGCUUCUUGGUAUUCCAGGAAGCAUGCCUGUUUGAGCCUCAGUUGCAUCUCACAACUUGUGUGGACGUGAGCGUUUCGUAUACGCGAUCGCUUUAAACGCAUAAGGCUGGCCUCGAAUGCGGACACGGCUUGCUUGCUAAUAUCUUACGAUUUACUAGCAAAGUGUUCCGGCUUACAUUCGAGUGAUACGGCUCAACGUCAACCGCCUCGCGGCGAUCUGACACCUUGAGCUCAAAUCAGGCAAGACUACCCGCUGA
rnacentral:misc_RNA from 1 species